rnacentral:rRNA from 1 species
UGAGUACGAGCUGCUACGCAGCGAAGUGGGUGAUGUCAAGCUUCCAAGAAAAGCCCUAUACCCGUUAAGGCAUGACGGCCUGUACCCGAAACCGACACAGGUGGGGUGGUAGAGAAUACCGAGGGGCGCGAGAUAACUCUCUCUAAGGAACUCGGCAAAAUGGCCCCGUAACUUCGGGAGAAGGGGUGCCACCGCAAGGUGGUCGCAGUGAUGAGGCCCAGGCGACUGUUUACCAAAAACACAGGUCUCCGCUAAGUCGCAAGACGAUGUAUGGGGGCUGACGCCUGCCCAGUGCCGGAAGGUUAAGGAAGCUGGUCAGCGCAAGCGAAGCUAGCGACUGAAGCCCCGGUGAACGGCGGCCGUAACUAUAACGGUCCUAAGGUAGCGAAAUUCCUUGUCGGGUAAGUUCCGACCCGCACGAAAGGCGUAACGAUCUGGGCGCUGUCUCGGAGAGAGGCUCGGCGAAAUAGAAUUGUCUGUGAAGAUGCGGACUACGUGCACCCGGACAGAAAGACCCUAUGAAGCUUUACUGUAGCUUGGUAUUGUGCCCGGGCUCUGAAUGCGCAGGAUAGGUGGGAGGCUUUGAUCCAUGGCUUGCGGGUCAUGGUGAGCCAACGGUGAGAUACCACUCUUUCAGAGCUAGGGUUCUAACAGCCACCCGUUAUCCGGGGGCUGGACAGUAUCAGGUGGGCAGUUUGACUGGGGCGGUCGCCUCCUAAAAGGUAACGGAGGCGCGCAAAGGUUUGCUCAGGCUGGUUGGAAAUCAGCCGACGAGUGCAAAAGCAGAAGCAAGCUUGACUGUGAGACCAACAAGUCGAACAGGGACGAAAGUCGGCUUUAGUGAUCCGACGGUUCUGAGUGGAAGGGCCGUCGCUCAACGGAUAAAAGUUACUCUAAGGAUAACAGGCUGAUCUCCCCCAAGAGUUCACAUCGACGGGGAGGUUUGGCACCUCGAUGUCGGCUCAUCGCAACCUGGGGCUGAAGUCGGUCCCAAGGGUUGGGCUGUUCGCCCAUUAAAGCGGUACGCGAGCUGGGUUCAGAACGUCGUGAGACAGUUCGGUCCAUAUCCGGUGCAUGCGUAAGAACAUUGAGAGGAGUUCUCCCUAGUACGAGAGGACCGGGAGGAACGCACCUCUGGUGUACCAGUUAUCGUGCCAACGGUAAACGCUGGGUAGCCAUGUGCGGAGAGGAUAACCGCUGAAAGCAUCUAAGUGGGAAGCCCACCUCAAGAUGAGUGUUCUCAUGGCUUAAGCCAGUAAGGUCACGGGAAGAACACCCGUUGAUAGGCUCUACGUGGAAGCGCAGCAAUGUGUGAAGCGGAGGAGUACUAAUAGACCGAGGGCUUGACC